UGGUAAUAUUUCAAGAACAUCUUAUAGUAACCUCAUUGAAGCUGAGGCUGCCGGUGAGUUUGGUGUCGAAGGUGGGAACUCUGGGUACUCCUGUUCCAGUGAUACCGAGCAAAAGCAUGGUCAGAUAGAUAUGAGUAGAUUUAGUGAAGGAGACCAAGCAACAUCUCGGGUAGAGGAUCCCAAAAGUGGAACUGUGAUGUGCAGUAAUCAUUCUGGAAUGCCAGGAGUAGUAUCAGAUGGAGCUGGGAAUGACACCAAAGUCAAGAAAGUGAAACUCAAAGUUGGUGGUGUUACAAAAACAAUAAACACUUCUGUCGCUGGAUCCUCUUCAGAUGCCCCUCAGAAAUGGCAACCCAAGAAUACAGGUGGACAUCAUUCCUCUUAUAGUGGAAGGGCAAUUGGCUUGCGAGGUAUCCCCUGGAAGGAUUUUGCUAAAACUGGUUUUGGUGUUAGGAAAGUGGAUUCCUCGACGGAUCAGUUACCUGGGCAGUUUGCCCCUUUGAAACAAUUAGAAAAAUAUGAGGCAUCUCAUAAAAGCAAGUCUCUGCUAAAAAGACAUUUAUCAGGUGAAACAUUUGAUGAUGAAGACACUGAGGAUGAUGAUGAUGAUGAGAUCCG
rnacentral:misc_RNA from 1 species